ensembl:lncRNA
CUCCACAGAAGAAAUGUAUGCAGAGUUUCAUUUUUCCAUAGUGCUGCUUUGCAUGCUGCGCAUGGAUGAUGUAAAUCAAUGUGUAUUAACAGAGGAUUUUCUUGCCAAAGUUCCUCCGUUUCACAAGUGUGUUUGUUUGUAUCCUGCCCCUUAUAAUGUCAAGUGUUUCAAGUGAAAGAUAGAAGAGGAUUCCUGCAGUUUCUGCUGAAUGUGAAGUAUUUCAGCAAUAAUGCUGUUUUCUCCUUUUUUGUUUUCCAGAUAUUUGUGGAUUCAGGGCUUGUGCAGACAACAGACAAAGAGGAUGCUGAGUCCUCCAAGUACUACUAGGGAAGAAAGAGACUCUGGCUCAUGGAGGUCUCUCCAGGCAGAAAGAAGCAAAGACAAUUUUCCAGGAAAGUUUUCCAAGCAGUAAUUUAGUUCUGAGCAAACCCUUUUUAAACACCGUUUUUCUGAAGGGCCAGAAGCAAGAUGAGGGGACAAAAUGAAUAGCCUAAUUAGCAAGCUGAAUACAGCACUAGUCUGGCAUCUGAAAUGAGUGUACACUGCUUGCUGGACGAGAAAUUCACUUCAAGGCCUCUUCCGCUGUUUAGUGUGAAAUGCAUGAACUGUCCUGUGAAAAGGAGAUGGAUCCAGAACUUUCUCCAAGGUAGAAGUCAUGUUACCACAGGAAAGCAGUCUCACCAUUUGAAGUAAAUUGAUGUUAAAGAGUCCUCUUGAAAGGAUAGCUGCCUAUGACUGAAACGAACAAGAAAACCAUGAAAUGAUUGGAAAUGUGAUACUUGUAAAGUGAAAUCUGUCCCAAGACAGCACUAUUAUACAAACUCCUUGUAAGGACACGCAAGUACACAUAGGAGUGUGAUCAGAUACCAAGUUAGGGAGAGGGAAUUAAGUUAUGGGGUGGAAGGUGAAGGGUUGUACCAAGAUUCACUGUUCUGUGGCUGACCAAAUGGGUUUGACUGAAUUUUGUCAGGAAUGUAAGUAAGUCCUUUAGACUAAAACAAUCUCAGACAUGAUUCAGAGGGAGUUUUGAAGCCUGCAAAGUGCAUAUUACUUAAUUGCAAUGAAUUAACAAGACAGCAGUAUGUCUAAGAUUUCAUCCAGCUUCCUUGAGUUCACAAAGUAAAGGUUAGGUACCCCUUGGCAUGGGGAUCACAUGUGGGGACAUCCUCCACAGGUCCCAGGUUUGGACUUCCACAUCCUGCACAGCGCUGCAAAGUCUUUUUUGCUGCCACCAUACUCAACACUUAAUAAGAGAACAGGUUGAAAACUUCACAUCCUAAAGUAAAGUAAAGUCUUAGGCCUAGAGUUUUGGAGAUAUUUAAUGGCCUUGAUAUUUCAGGGGUAUUCACAUUGAACCUUGAUUGCAUAAUUGCAUGAAGAUGUAUGUCAGUUAAACUGCAAACAUCAGUGGCAUCUGAAAUCCAAGAUGGGCCAUGAAAUCUUCCUGUUAUGAACAGCUGUGGAUUUAGAGCAGAAAUGGUCACCUAUAAAUUAACUGUGUGAAACAGACGGAACUUAGUCAAGUAGAUCAGCUUCAGUUCCCUAGGUACAUAGCCUGGGGAAGUCAUAGGGAGUAUGGCAGCAUUAAUUGGUUUAUGCUGUAAAUUAUUCCCAGCCUUAAAGCCUUUAGGCUUUACUACUACUCAUUAGCUGGAUUUAUUUUCAUUAUUCUGGUGAGGCCCACAAGGUGGUUAUCAUCCUGACUGCCUCAUGUAUGAGAGUUUCCAUGCCAGGCCUGAGUACAGCUGCUCUGUUUCAUGGCCAGCAAAAUGUUAAGGGCACACCACAGAGCAAUUCAUGGCACAGCAAUAAAUACGCAGAUUUAAGUGAUAAGAUCA